rnacentral:rRNA from 1 species
GACGAACGCUGGCGGCGUGCUUAACACAUGCAAGUCGAACGGAAAGGCCCUGCUUGCCGGGUACUCGAGUGGCGAACGGGUGAGUAACACGUGGGUGAUCUGCCCUGCACUUCGGGAUAAGCCUGGGAAACUGGGUCUAAUACCGGAUAGGAGCCAUUUUUAGUGUGAUGGUUGGAAAGUUUUUUCGGUGUAGGAUGAGCUCGCGGCCUAUCAGCUUGUUGGUGGGGUAAUGGCCUACCAAGGCGGCGACGGGUAGCCGGCCUGGGGGGGUGGACGGCCACAUUGGGGCUGAGAUACGGCCCAGACUCCUACGGGAGGCAGCAGGGGGGAAAAAUGCACAAUGGGCGGGAGCCUGAUGCAGCGACGCCGCGUGGGGGAGGACGGCCUUCGGGUUGUAAACUCCUUUCGCUAGGGAAGAAGCUGUUUGUGACGGUACCUAGAGAAGAAGCACCGGCUAACUACGUG